AGUGAGUUGGAUGAGUGGUUGAAAUCACUACCCUGCUAAGGUAGCAUAUGCGAAAGCGUAUCGUGGGUUCGAAUCCCACACUCACUGCCA
rnacentral:tRNA from 5 species